rnacentral:rRNA from 1 species
AGUGAACGCUGGCGGUAGGCCUAACACAUGCAAGUCGAACGGCAGCACAGUAAGAGCUUGCUCUUACGGGUGGCGAGUGGCGGACGGGUGAGGAAUACAUCGGAAUCUACUUUUUCGUGGGGGAUAACGUAGGGAAACUUACGCUAAUACCGCAUACGACCUACGGGUGAAAGCAGGGGAUCUUCGGACCUUGCGCGAUUGAAUGAGCCGAUGUCGGAUUAGCUAGUUGGCGGGGUAAAGGCCCACCAAGGCGACGAUCCGUAGCUGGUCUGAGAGGAUGACCGGCCAAAGUGGAACUGAAACCCGGUCCAGACCCCAACGGGAGGCAGCGGGGGGGAAUUUUGGAAAAUGGGGGCAAGCCUGAUCCAGCCAUACCGGGGGGGUGAAGAAGGCCUUCGGGUGGUAAAGCCCUUUUGUUGGGAAAAAAAAGCAGCAGGUUAAUCCCCCGCUGUUCUGACGGUACCAAAAAAAAAAGCACCGGCUAACUUCGU